ACUUGCUAAUCUGCGAUAAGCGCCGGUAAGGUGAUAUGAACCGUUAUAACCGGCGAUUUCCGAAUGGGGAAACCCAGUGUGAUUCGUCACACUAUCAUUAACUGAAUCCAUAGGUUAAUGAGGCGAACCGGGGGAACUGAAACAUCUAAGUACCCCGAGGAAAAGAAAUCAACCGAGAUUCCCCCAGUAGCGGCGAGCGAACGGGGAGGAGCCCAGAGCCUGAAUCAGCAUGUGUGUUAGUGGAAGCGUCUGGAAAGGCGCGCGAUACAGGGUGACAGCCCCGUACACAAAAGCGCAUGUGCUGUGAGCUCGAUGAGUAGGGCGGGACACGUGGUAUCCUGUCUGAAUAUGGGGGGACCAUCCUCCAAGGCUAAAUACUCCUGACUGACCGAUAGUGAACCAGUACCGUGAGGGAAAGGCGAAAAGAACCCCGGCGAGGGGAGUGAAAAAGAACCUGAAACCGUGUACGUACAAGCAGUGGGAGCACAGGUUUACCUGUGUGACUGCGUACCUUUUGUAUAAUGGGUCAGCGACUUAUAUUCUGUAGCAAGGUUAACCGUAUAGGGGAGCCGGAGGGAAACCGAGU
rnacentral:rRNA from 1 species